GCCAGACUCCUACGGGAGGCAGCAGUGGGGGAUAUUGCACAAUGGGGGGAACCCUGAUGCAGCGACGCCGCGUGGGUGAAGGAGUAUUUCGGUAUGUAAAGCCCUAUCGGCAGGGAAGAAGCAAGACGGUACCUGACUAAGAAGCCCCGGCUAACUACGUGCCAGCAGCCGCGGUAAUACGUAGGGGGCGAGCGUUAUCCGGAUUCACUGGGUGUAAAGGGAGCGUAGACGGCCAAGCAAGCCAGGGGUGAAAGCCCGGGGCCCAACCCCGGGACUGCCCUUGGAACUGCAUGGCUGGAGUGCGGGAGGGGCAGGCGGAAUUCCUGGUGUAGCGGUGAAAUGCGUAGAUAUCAGGAGGAACACCGGCGGCGAAGGCGGCCUGCUGGACCGCGACUGACGUUGAGGCUCGAAAGCGCGGGUAUCGAACAGGAUUAGAUACCCCCGUA
rnacentral:rRNA from 1 species